UACGGGGGGAGCAAGCGUUGUUCGGAUUUACUGGGCGUAAAGGGCGCGUAGGCGGCGCGACAAGUCACUUGUGAAAUCUCUGGGCUCAACCCAGAACGGUCAAGUGAUACUGUCGUGCUAGAGUGCGGAAGGGGCAACUGGAAUUCUUGGUGUAGCGGUGAAAUGCGUAGAUAUCAAGAGGAACACCUGCGGCGAAGGCGGCAUCCUGGACCAAUAUUGACGCUGAGGAGCGAAAGCCAGGGGAGCAAACGGG
rnacentral:rRNA from 1 species